UGGGGAAUAUUGCACAAUGGGCGCAAGCCUGAUGCAGCCAUGCCGCGUGUAUGAAGAAGGCCUUCGGGUUGUAAAGUACUUUCAGUCGGGAGGAAGGUGGUAAGGUUAAUAACCUUAUCAAUUGACGUUACCGACAGAAGAAGCACCGGCUAACUCCGUGCCAGCAGCCGCGGUAAUACGGAGGGUGCAAGCGUUAAUCGGAAUUACUGGGCGUAAAGCGCACGCAGGCGGUUGAUUGAGUCAGAUGUGAAAUCCCCGGGCUUAACCCGGGAAUUGCAUCUGAUACUGGUCAGCUAGAGUCUUGUAGAGGGGGGUAGAAUUCCAUGUGUAGCGAUGAAAUGCGUAGAGAUGUGGAGGAAUACCUGUGGCGAAGGCGGCCCCCUGGACAAAGACUGACGCUCAGGUGCGAAAGCGUGGGGAGCAAACAGG
rnacentral:rRNA from 1 species